ACGGAUUGAGGUCGGCGGCGGAGCGGCGGUUCUCGACCAAUUUGCCUGAGCGGUUCGGAUUCUUCGAAGCAAUGGCAUAAAGGAAUUUGGUCAGAGUUUCUAUACUUCUCUAAUUUGGUCUUCUCGGUUUUACGAAAAGCUUUUUUUGGUAUUUUUCUUGGAGUUUUCGUUGGAACAAGAAAGGUGAGAUUCACCAUAAGGUUCUUGGUUUUUUAUCCGGAGAAGACAUAAAGUGUAAGCUUGUACUUCUAUUUCUUCAUAUAGUGGAAUACAUCUCUCUCGCUCUCCCCGUGGACAUAGGCAAUUGCUGAACCACGUAAAUCUUGGUUUCUUCUUUCUGCAUUUAUUUCUUUUACCGUUCGUUCGGUCGAUUUUCUCUAUUUUUCGUGCAUCUUUGUUGGUAGCACAUGACGGACGAUCCAUCCGGUUCCCAACAAGUGGUAUCAGAGCGUAAGGUUCGUGCUACAUCAGAGAUGUCGAAAGUCUCGUCUUCUAAGUUUGAGGUGGAGAAAUUUGACGGUAAAGGAAACUUCGGUCUCUGGCAGAGAAGAGUGAAAGCCCUUCUGGUUCAACAGGGCCUUCAUAAGGCGUUGCUCGGAAAAUCGAAAAAGCCGUCAUUGAUGAGCGACGAAGAUUGGGAGGAUAUUGAUCUGCGAGCGGUGAAUACAAUUAUAUUGUGUCUAGCAGAUGAGGUGAUGUAUAACGUAAUGGAUGAAGAAACUACAGUCGGCAUGUGGAACAAGCUAGAGAAGCUGUACAUGACCAAAAGCCUCUCGAACGUGCUGUACCUAAAGCAAAAAUUAUAUGGGCUACGCAUGAAGGAAGGUACGGCAAUAACGGAACACUUGAACACCUUUAAUAAAAUUAUUGCAGAUUUGUUCAGCAUUAAUGUCAAGGUUGACGAGGACGAUAAGGCGUUGAUUUUUCUUAUAUCACUUCCGCCGUCCUACAAUCACUUGGUGACCACCAUACUGUACGGGAAGCAAACUCUAAAGAUGGAAGAUGUUACAUCGACACUUUUAUCUAAAGAGAUCAGGUUGCAGGCGAGUACCGAAGAAAGCAGUGCAGGUUUGGUCGUAAAUGAUACAAGUGGAAGAAGGGGACGAUCAAGAGAACGUGAUGCAGGUAAAGGAAGAUCCCGUUCCAAGUCAAAAUCGAAAAAGGUGAAGUGUUACUUCUGUAAGAAAGAGGGCCACAUGAAAAAGAACUGCGAAAAGAGGAAGGCUUGGCUGCGAAAUCAAAAUUCCUUUGCAGAUACGGCGAGCGUAGCUAGUGACUCCGGUCAGGACGUCUUGACGGUUACAACAGAUUCUGACUCUCACGGUGACUGGAUAUUAGAUUCUGGUUGUUCUUAUCACAUGUCUCCAGACAGGUCUUUAUUUGAUACUUAUAAGUCUUGUGACGGCAGUAGUGUUAUGAUGGGUAAUCGCACUAGCUGCAAGAUGGUCGGUAUCGGAACAGUAAAAAUAAAGAUGUUUGAUGGUGUGGUGAGGACGUUAACGGAUGUGAGACACAUUCCGGAUCUCAGGUUAAAUCUUAUAUCACUUGGUACUCUUGACUCUACUGGCUGUUCUAUUAGUAUUUCAGGUGGAGUCGUCAAGGUUAAAAAGAGUGCCAUGGUCGUCAUGAAGGAAGAGAAGAAAGGGAAUCUGUAUAGGCUGAUCGGCGAGUCGGUGAUUGGAGGCGUUGCGGUAACAUCCUCAGAAGAUCAUGAUGCUGAUGAUACGGAGCUCUGGCACAUGAGACUAGCCCACAUGAGUGAAAGAGAGAUGUUGGAACUGCAUAAAAGGGAAGUACUCAAAGGUAUUAAAUCCUGUAAACUUAAUUUCUGCAAAUAUUGUUUAUUUGGAAAACAGAAAAAGUUGAAUUUCAGGACCUCCAGUCAUAAAAGCAAAAGUAUACUUGAGUACAUCCAUGCGGACGUGUGGGGACCGGCUCCGGUGACUUCGAAAGGUGGUGCGCGAUAUUUUAUUACAUUUAUUGAUGAUUUCUCCCGUAAGGUUUGAGUAUUCUUCAUGAAGGAAAAGUCUGAGGCAUUUGUAAAGUUCAGACAUUGGAAGAAUGAAGUGGAGAAACAAACUGGAAAGCAGGUCAAGGUUCUUCGAACGGACAAUGGUGGAGAGUUCACUUCUCGGGAGUUUAAAAAAUUCUGCAAGGAUGAAAGUAUUGUACGUCAUUACACGGUUCCAGGUACUGCACAGCAGAAUGGGGUAGCAGAAAGGAUGAACCGGACAUUACUAGAACGUGCCAGAUCCAUGAGGUUAUGUGCAGAUUUGCCAAAGGAGUUCUGGGCUGAAGCAGUAGAUAUGGCGUGCUAUAUUAUUAAUCGAUCUCCCGCCACAGCAAUCGAACUCAAAACACCGGAGGAAGUAUGGACAGGUAAACUUGCAGAUUAUUCCUCCUUACGGGUCUUUGGUUGUCCUGCUUAUGUCCAUAUCCAGGAAAAUCAGCGCACAAAAUUAGAUUCGAAGUCAAAGCCCUGCAUAUUUCUUGGGUACGAUAUGGGUGUUAAAGGAUACAAGCUGUGGGACCCUAUCGCCAAGAAGAAGGUGAUUAGCAGGGACGUAGUUUUUGACGAAAAAGCUAUGCCGCGUAAGGAUCAUCAGGAGGCUCAACGUGAAGAACAGUCAAAAACUACGCAGAUCCAGGUGGAGCGGCAAGAGGGUGUAGAUGAUCAGGUGGAGCAGCCCCACUAUCAGGAUGAUCAUGGUACACAAAGCGAUCCGAUUGAAAGCACUUCGGAGGAGCCCUACUCUAUCGCUAAAGGAAGGGAAAGGAGACAGAUUCGUCCACCUUUACGGUACAGGUUGGAGGAUAUAGUAUCUUAUGCCUUAUUAAUUACAUCAGAUGAUCCCACUUCCUAUCAGGAGGCGAUGCAGGACAGAGAUAGUGGCAGAUGGAUGGCGGCUAUGACAGAAGAGAUGGAGUCUCUACAGAAGAAUCAGACAUGGGAUCUGAUUCCAUUACCGGAAGGGAAGAGAUCUAUCGGUUGCAAGUGGAUCUACAAAAAGAAGCAGGGUGCAGAUGGAGAACCAGAAAAAUUCAAGGCGCGGUUAGUAGCCAAGGGCUAUGCGCAAGUAAAGGGAGUUGAUUUCAAUGAGAUUUUCUCACCGGUGGUGAAACACGCGUCAAUUAGGAUGCUUCUAGCUAUGGUGGCUAUGUUUGAUUUAGAGCUUCAGCAGCUUGACGUUCGAACCGCAUUUCUUCAUGGGGAUCUAGUAGAAGAAAUUUAUAUGGAACAACCUCAAGGUUUUGUUCAGCCGGGGAAGGAGAAUCUGGUGUGCAAACUGAAAAGAUCUCUCUACGGGUUGAAGCAGGCACCGAGGCAGUGGUAUAAGCGGUUUGACGGGUUUAUGAUCGAGCAUGGUUAUAGCAGAAGUUUAUAUGACAGUUGUGUCUACUAUCGGAGGCUUGAAGAUGGUUCGUUUAUUCUGCUUAUGCUAUAUGUAGACGAUAUGCUUAUAGCAGCUAAGAAUCCGAAUGAAGUGCAACAAUUAAAGGAUCAGUUGAGCCGAGAAUUUGACAUGAAGGACCUAGGAGGUGCUAGGAAAAUCCUAGGUAUGGAGAUCAGACGCGACCGCAUACAGGGUAAGUUAUGGUUAUCGCAGAAGACAUAUAUACGAGCUAUUAUAAAGCAAUUUAAUAUGUCAGAGGCGAAGGCGGUCAAGACUCCAUUAGCCCAACACUUCAAACUUUCUGAGGAGAUGUGUCCCAAGACGGAUGAGGAGAUUACUUCUAUGUCAAAGAUACCAUAUGCUAGUGCAGUCGGUUGCCUGAUGUAUGCUAUGAUCUGCACUAGGCCUGAUCUUUCACAUGCAGUUAGUGUUGUCAGUCGGUAUAUGUCGAAUCCAGGAAAACAACACUGGGAGGCCGUGAAGUGGAUUUUGCGGUAUCUGAAGGGCACAUCAGAUAAAGGUAUUCUCUACUCGAAAGAUUCUGGUAAUGAUGAAGUGAAGGGGUUUGUAGAUUCCGACUAUGCGGGUGAUUUGGACAAGCGUAGGUCUAUUACAGGUUACGUCUUUCUGCUGGGCGGCGGACCUAUCAGUUGGAAAUCUACGUUGCAGCGCACUGUAGCCUUGUCAACUACAGAAGCGGAGUAUAUGGCGGCAAUUGAAGCAGCUAAGGAAGCAGUCUGGCUUAGAGGCUUGGUUGGUGAACUCGGGAUCAUGCAGGAAAAAAUGAUUAUCGGUUGUGAUAGUCAGAGUGCUAUAUGUCUCGCCAGGAAUCCAGUUUACCAUGGGAGGACAAAGCACAUAGAAAUCAAGUAUCACAAAUUACGGGAGCUCACUAAUGAGGAUGAUGGAGAAAUUCAGCUUAUAAAGGUUUCCACAAAGGAUAAUGUAGCUGACAUCAUGACAAAGCCGGUAACAGCGGAUAAGUUUAGACACUGUCUAAACUUGGCUAAUUUGCAUGACUGCUAAUGACUGAAUGCCUCAGGGAGAGGGGGCGAUAAGAUGAGAGAGAGUAAUGAAGUAAAAAAGAAGUCAAGGUGGAGAAUGUUAAAGAUAUGCCUUCUUUUUUAUUGGUUUUGUCCAUGCACCGGGUCUACGGAAUAUAUUAAUUCUUAAAGUUGAUUCACGUUGGUGUAAGAGAUGAGGCUGAAUCUAAUUAAUAUUGGGAUUGCAUGCAUCAAAACCAUAUUCGGUUUAUACUUCUCAAACCGACUCCAAUUAACAUUGGUUGACUUUUGACCGGGUUAAUUAGCACUAUAUAUUCAUGCUGGGGUGAACCGUACGAUGCGUCAUGUGGUAGAAAUUUAAUUAGCAUCGGGCUAAUUAAUUCACAGCUUCCUAUAGCCGUACGGUAGCAAGAAAAAGAGAUGCGCGGUAGCACGCAUGCGACGGAUUGACGUUGGCGGCGGAGCGGCGGUUCUCAACCAAUUGCCUGAGCGGUUCGGAUUCUUCGAAGCAACGGCAUAAAGGAAUUUGGUUAGAGUUUCUAUACUUCUCUAAUUUGGUCUUCUCGGUUUUACGAAAAGCUUUUUUUCGGUAUUUUUCUUGGAGUUUUCGUUGGAACAAGAAAGGUGGGAUUCACCAUAAGGUUCUUGGUUUUUUAUCCGGAGAAGACAUAAGGUGUAAGCUUGUACUUCUAUUUCUUCAUAUAGUGGAAUACAUCUCUCUCGCUCUCCCCGUGGACGUAGGCAAUUGCCGAACCACGUAAAUCUUGGUUUCUUCUUUCUGCAUUUAUUUUUUUACCGUUCGGUCGAUUUUCUCUAUUUUUCGUGCAUCUUUGUUGGUAGCACAUGACGGACGAUCCAUCCGGUUCCCAACAAGAAUAUAUAAAUAUAAUUUUUAUUGUAAAUUUUUGGAUAAAUAUAAUGUAAAAAUAUUAACUUAAAAUAAAUUAAAUUAAUUGUUAUGUGCAUUUGUACGUACGCUGAGGGUGUGUUUGGUUAGAAGUCAUAAUCAGUAUCGGAAUCAGAAUGAGAUUAAGCGGGAACGAAUCGGAAUGAUUCAUUAUGUCUUUCUGUUUGGUUCGUUAUCUGAAUCGGAAUAAAUUAUUCUCAUUGUCGAUGUUUAGUUUAAAUAAAUAUCAGAAACGUAAUCAAAUUUAUAUACCAAUUUUAUCUUUAUAAUAUAUUAGUUUAAAUUCAAAUUGAAAAUUCAAUAUUAAAAAUUUACGUCAAAAUUUUAAAAUGAUGUAAAAAUUUUAAAUAUAAUUUUUAAAAAAAUUAAAAUUUGAAAUUGAACGGAUAAUUAAAAAUAUAAAACUAAAUUUUGAUUUAUUCAAAUUCAAACUUAAAAUUGUAAUUUAAAUUUCAAGUUGAAUUCAUAAAUUUAAUUUAAAUUUUAAAUAAAAUUUGAAUAAAAAUUUAGAUUUUAAAUUAAAUUUAAAUUCAAAUUUAUAAAUUAAAUUCUAAAUGUUUGAUAUAAUUUUAAUUUUAAUUAAAGUUCAAAUUUAAAUUUAAAUUUAUAAAUAUAAUUUUUAAACUAAAGCUUAUAUUUUUAAUUAAAAAAAUAAGUUUAAAAAUAUUAAAUUUAAUCCGAACAAAUUUAUUUCAUCUGAAUUCAAUUUUCAACCCGGCCUUAUAUAAAUGGAUUCGUCCAUUCCAAUUCUAGGAUAAAAAAAUAGGCGAACCAAACACGCCCUCGGCUAGUCUAUACUACUUAUAAAAGCGUGAGUUUUAAAUUAUUUUUCCUUUCCAAAAAUGCCUCUAUCUUUUCUAUUAAUAUUUUCAUGUCCAAUAAUUUUUAACCAAUCAUUCAAAUAAUUAAUCAAAUAAUAAUUUAUUCUCAAAUAUAAAUAUUAAGUAUAUAUAAAGUUUUUACUCUUGGAUCUCAUUCAAUGAUUGAAAAUAAAAGUAUCUGUCACUUUUCUUGACGAAAAUACCCUCAAUAUCAGUUAUGUCCUAUUUACGUGUUUCUUAAAUAUUUUCUUUUACGCGUACCCAAAAUUAUCCAUAAUUAAUUACCCGCCAAUCCUUUCUCAAAUCACAUAGUACCCAAAAUUACCCAAAAUUAAAUUAUCCGCAAUCCUCUUAUUUUUGACCUAAUGCCCACGUUUCCUCUAAAAAAAAAUAUUCCCGCCAAUCACUUAGUACCCAAAAUUUCCAAUCACGUAGUACCCAAAAUUACCCAAAAUUAAAUUACUUGCCAAUCCUCUCAUUUUCUUAAAUAUAAAUAUCUAUGUCCUCAAUUUUUUUUAGUAAUAUCCUUUUUCAUUUGUUCCCGUGCCCACACAUCUUCAUCCUCCUCAUCGCCAUUGCCGACUGUAACACAUUGUCACCUUCAUCACCUUCGCCAUAGUUAGAGAGGUCCCGUCGCCGGCACCGGCACAUCGUCGUCAUCCUUGGCACAUUGUCGCGCCUCCGUCACCUUCGCCACAAUUGGUGAGGUAUUUUGAUCCUAUCUAAAAAUUUUUCUUUUUUUAA
rnacentral:lncRNA from 1 species